rnacentral:rRNA from 1 species
CGCUGUCACUCCUACGGGAGGCAGCAGUGGGGAAUAUUGCACAAUGGGCGCAAGCCUGAUGCAGCCAUGCCGCGUGUAUGAAGAAGGCCUUCGGGUUGUAAAGUACUUUCAGCAGUGAGGAAGGUGGAGUCGUUAAUAGCGGCCUCAUUUGACGUUAGCUGCAGAAGAAGCACCGGCUAACUCCGUGCCAGCAGCCGCGGUAAUACGGAGGGUGCGAGCGUUAAUCGGAAUUACUGGGCGUAAAGCGCAUGCAGGUGGUUUGUUAAGUCAGAUGUGAAAGCCCGGGGCUCAACCUCGGAAUUGCAUUUGAAACUGGCAGACUAGAGUACUGUAGAGGGGGUAGAAUUUCAGGUGUAGCGGUGAAAUGCGUAGAGAUCUGAAGGAAUACCGGUGGCGAAGGCGGCCCCCUGGACAGAUACUGACACUCAGAUGCGAAAGCGUGGGGAGCAAACAGGAUUAGAUACCCUGGUAG